GGAUUGUAGCUUCGUGGUAGAGCCCUUGCCUACCAUGUGUGGGGCACUGGGUUCGAUUCUCAGCACCA
rnacentral:tRNA from 1 species